UAACAAUACUUAUAAAUGUAAUUGUACUAUUUUCUGUCACAGCUCCAUCAGAUUAUGACAAUGAAACCUGUGCUGUCGAUGGUGAUUGUAAUGGUACUAGUCUACUCUACUUUAAGCCCAUUUUGAAGCCUGAUAUACCCGUAUGGUAUUAUCCAGCCUUUUACAUUCUUGGCAUUGUUCAUAUGAUACUUGCUUUGUGGAUGGUUUUGCAGUAUUUUGCAAAGCAUUGGACUAACAUACGUUUCGAAAUAGCAUUUACUAAAAAAAUUAUGCAUGAGGCUAAAAAAGGACUUUUGCGAAGAAAGUAUCUUCACAAGUUUUUUAGAAAGCUCAACAAAAUUUUCUGUUG